rnacentral:rRNA from 1 species
UACGAAGGGGGCUAGCGUUGCUCGGAAUCACUGGGCGUAAAGCGCACGUAGGCGGCUUUCUAAGUCAGGGGUGAAAUCCUGGAGCUCAACUCCAGAACUGCCUUUGAUACUGGAGAGCUUGAGUCCGGAAGAGGUGAGUGGAACUCCCGAGUGUAGAGGUGAAAAUUCGUAGAUAUUCGGAAGAACACCAGUGGCGAAGGCGGCCAGCUAGACCAGUUCUGACACUGAGGCGCGACAGCGUGGGGAGCAAACAGGG